AAACCAACAGGGAUUGCCCUAGUAACGGCGAGUGAAGCGGCAACAGCUCAAAUUUGAAAUCUGGCCCUCGGGUCCGAGUUGUAAUUUGCAGAGGAUGCUUUUGGCGCGGUGCCUUCCGAGUUCCCUGGAAUGGGACGCCUUAGAGGGUGAGAGCCCCGUACGGUUGGACACCAAGCCUCUGUAAAGCUCCUUCGACGAGUCGAGUAGUUUGGGAAUGCUGCUCUAAAUGGGAGGUAAAUUUCUUCUAAAGCUAAAUAUUGGCCAGAGACCGAUAGCGCACAAGUAGAGUGAUCGAAAGAUGAAAAGCACUUUGAAAAGAGGGUUAAAUAGCACGUGAAAUUGUUGAAAGGGAAGCGUUUGCGACCAGACCUCUUCCCGGCGGAUCAUCCGGUGUUCUCACCGGUGCACUUCGCCGGGUCGAGGCCAGCAUCGGUCUCUGUAGGGGGAUAAAAGCUCAGGGAACGUAGCUCCUUCGGGAGUGUUAUAGCCCUCUGCAUAAUGCCCUUACGGGGACCGAGGACCGCGCCUUUGGGCAAGGAUGCUGGCGUAAUGGUCGCCAACGAC
rnacentral:rRNA from 1 species